rnacentral:misc_RNA from 1 species
GAUGAAGAACGUAGCGAAAUGCGAUAAGUAGUGUGAAUUGCAGAAUUCAGUGAAUCAUCGAAUCUUUGAACGCACAUUGCGCCCCUUGGUAUCCCGAGGGGCAUGCCUGUUCGAGCGUCAUUUCACCACUCAAGCCUGGCUUGGUGUUGGGCGACGUCCUCUUUGGGGACGUGCCUCGAAACGCUCGGCGGCGUGGCACCGGCUUUAAGCGUAGCAGAAUCUUUCGCUUUGGAAGUCGGGGCCCCGUCUGCCGGAAGACCUGCUCGCAAGAUUGACCUCGGAUCAGGCAGGGAUACCCGCUGAACUUAAGCAUAUCAAUAAGCGGAGGA